CUGCCACAAUGAUGGGGUUCGAUUCCGAUCGAACUAGGUGAUCCACACCAGUGCUUCGGACAGCGGUUCGAUUCCGCUCAGCUCCAUUACCCCCUAUUGCAAGGGGCUGCAAUGGUUUCGACGGGGCAUCAGGCG
rnacentral:tmRNA from 1 species